GUCCUAGCCUUAAACGAUGAUGACUUGGUGUGUCGGGUAUUCAGUCCCGAUGUGCCGGAGCUAACGCGUUAAGUCAUCCGCCUGGGGAGUACGGUCGCAAGACUGAAACUCAAAGGAAUUGACGGGGACCCCGCACAAGCGGUGGAGCAUGUGGUUUAAUUCGACGCAACGCGAAGAACCUUACCUAGGCUAGAAUGCGAAGGGCGUGAGCGCAAAACGCUCAUUUCUAUGGGAAACUAUAGACCUGAAGCAAGGUGCUGCAUGGCUGUCGU
rnacentral:rRNA from 1 species